CACCUCUCAGGGUCAUACCUGGAGAGUUUCCAGGACUCUACUGGUCUCAACUUUGGGAGGUAGAGUCAAGCAGAGGCCUACCCAUUCCAUUCCUUGCUUAGGCAGUGGCUAGUGAGUGGAAGGCAAUCUGCUACAAAU
rnacentral:snoRNA from 2 species